GAUGAACGCUGGCGGCGUGCCUAAUACAUGCAAGUCGAGCGAACAGACGAGGAGCUUGCUCCUCUGACGUUAGCGGCGGACGGGUGAGUAACCCGUGGAUAACCUACCUAUAAGACUGGGAUAACUUCGGGAAACCGGAGCUAAUACCGGAUAAUAUAUUGAACCGCAUGGUUCAAUAGUGAAAGACGGUUUUGCUGUCACUUAUAGAUGGAUCCGCGCCGCAUUAGCUAGUUGGUAAGGUAACGGCUUACCAAGGCAACGAUGCGUAGCCGACCUGAGAGGGUGAUCGGCCACACUGGAACUGAGACACGGUCCAGACUCCUACGGGAGGCAGCAGUAGGGAAUCUUCCGCAAUGGGCGAAAGCCUGACGGAGCAACGCCGCGUGAGUAAUGAAGGUCUUCGGAUCGUAAAACUCUGUUAUUAGGGAAGAACAAAUGUGUAAGUAACUAUGCACGUCUUGACGGUACCUAAUCAGAAAGCCACGGCUAACUACGUG
rnacentral:rRNA from 1 species